AUGGGAACGCGAAGAACCUUACCCACCUUUGACAUGUACGGAAGUUACCAGAGAUGGUUUCGUGCUCGAAAGAGAACCGUAACACAGGUGCUGCAUGGCUGUCGUCAGCUCGUGUUGUGAAAUGUUGGGUUAAGUCCCGCAACGAGCGCAACCCCUAUUACUAGUUGCUACCAUUAAGUUGAGCACUCUAGUGAGACUGCCCGGGUUAACCGGGAGGAAGGCGGGGAUGACGUCAAGUCAUCAUGGCCCUUAUGACCAGGGCUACACACGUGCUACAAUGGCCGGUACAAAGGGUUGCCAACCCGCGAGGGGGAGCCAAUCCCAUAAAGCCGGUCGUAGUCCGGAUCGCAGUCUGCAACUCGGCUGCGUGAAGUCGGAAUCGCUAGUAAUCGUGAAUCAGCAUUGUCACGGUGAAUACGUUCCCGGGUCUUGUACACACCG
rnacentral:rRNA from 1 species